rfam:Stegodyphus mimosarum contig80711, whole genome shotgun sequence.
CAAAAGGUUCUUUUCAGAACCAACUUUUUUUUAAAAAUUUUCU